GUACAAGUGAAAAACUAGAAACUCAAAGGACUUGGCGGUACCCCACACCAACCUAGAGGAGCCUGUCCCAUAAUCGAUACCCCACGCUAAACCUAACCGACUCUUGACAAUCAGCCUAUAUACCGCCGUCGCCAGCCUGCCUAAUAAUAGACACACAGCAGGCACAAUAGUCCACGCUAACACGUCAGGUCAAGGUGUAGCUAAUGAGUCGGGCAAAGAUGGGCUACAUUUUCUACCCCACAAGAAAACCCACCACACCCCCACUGAAAUCCGGGUCCCAAGGCGGAUUUAGCAGUAAACCGGGCAAGACAAGCCCGACUGAAACCUGCUCUGGGGUAUGCACACACCGCCCGUCACCCUCA
rnacentral:rRNA from 1 species